rnacentral:rRNA from 1 species
UACGGAGGGUGCAAGCGUUAUCCGGAUUCACUGGGUUUAAAGGGUGCGUAGGUGGGCAAGUAAGUCAGUGGUGAAAUCUCCGGGCUUAACCCGGAAACUGCCAUUGAUACUAUUUGUCUUGAAUACUGUGGAGGUCAGCGGAAUAUGUCAUGUAGCGGUGAAAUGCUUAGAUAUGACAUAGAACACCAAUUGCGAAGGCAGCUUGCUACACAAUUAUUGACACUGAGGCUCGAAAGCGUGGGGAUCAAACAGG